rnacentral:lncRNA from 1 species
UUCAAACAAAACAUUGUACCUAAAGAGUGAAUGAUCUAACCCGCGGACAGAUUUGGAACUUUCACUCUCUAAGGAAUCAUUAUCAAGUUCCAAAGAUAUGUCAAGCACACGAUUAACCCUAUGAGCCAAGCAAACAUUAGAAUCCUUACAACAACAUAGGCUCACGGGUUCACUCCUUUUUUCUUGACCAACAUUUUCAAAUUCUUCACUCACUUGAGACUCAUUAAUCAC